AAUCUGUGCAUUGGGUAUUUUCACAACAAUUCCUUAAAAAGCUCUCAAGCUUCGUACAAACUCUCAUCCUCUAAUUGUUUAAAGGAAGUGAGGCAUUCCUAAGUUU